GGAAUUUUAGAUGUUACCUCCUUGUGAUGUAGAACGUUGCAGAUAUUGAUUGCAUCAAUUCAUCUUAUGACACCUGUUAUUAGAGGUAACAUCAUCAGAUGAGCUCGGGUCCAAACGUUUGUGAAACAAAUCUAGACUAAUGUAAUAUUUAAGCGAAUCAAAAGUUAAAGUAUCUUAGAAUAACAGCCAAAAUUGUCUAAAAUGAAUCAAACAUAGGCGCGAACUUGUGAUGACAAGCAACAAAUAAAAAAGGAGACCAAGGAAGCGGUUGAAAAGAAGUGUAAAAUAACAACACAAGAAGAAGUCAAAAAUAUUUAGAAAGUUACAAUUGUCUCCAUUGCCAACAAUAGUAACCUGAGUUUGAAAUUGAACUGCAUAGUUUGUAAUCUGCUUUCGUGAGAAACAGAAAUAACAAACAACAGAAAAAUGCAUUCAGAAAAAAUAAGAUGAUGUAAGAUCUAUUGUAAAAGGUGUCCCAGACCUAUAAUGAUCAGAAAAGGUGCAAAAAGUAUACAUGCAAUACUAUAUUGAUAUUGUGGCACUAAUUUCCACAGGAAAACGUAUGCUGUAUUCAAAUAGUUUCAAAUUGUACUUGUGAGUGUAGGUGAAACUUCAAAAGACGAAUUAGCUUAAAUUAAAUUAAAAAAAAAACAACGGAUGAAAGAUACCAAAGGGACAGUCAAACUCAUAAAUCAAAAUUCUCAUAAACCCCAUGGCUAAAAAUGAAAAAGACAAACAAACAACAGCAC
rnacentral:lncRNA from 1 species